AAGGGCACCACAAGAACGCGUGGAGCAUGUGGCUUAAUUUGACUCAACGCGGGAAAUCUUACCGGGUCCGGACACACUGAGGAUUGACAGAGAUUAAUAAUUACUAUUUAAUUAUGGUAUGUUAUUUAAAGAUGCUAGUUCUUUCAUGAUUAUGUGAUAGGUGGUGCAUGGCCGUUCUUAGUUCGUGGAGUGAUCUGUCUGCUUAAUUGCGUUUCAUAUUAAUAUGAAUACUAUUACUAUUUUAAUUUUUAAGUACUGACCCCUCUGUUAUACAGGGCGUGUGUCUUGCUUUUAAUUUUAAUUAUUAUAUUCUAAGAAAGCAACGAACGUGACCGUAUCCUUUUAUUAACUACAAGACACCUGUAGUAUUAAAAAUUAAAGGGACCGCUGUUUCCUACUUAAACCAGAGGAAGGUUACGGCAAUAACAGGUCUGUGAUGCCCUUAGAUGUUCCGGGCUGCACACGUGCUACAAUGAUUAUUUCAUUAAGUUAAUGUGUUUAAUUAAUUAUUAAAUUAAAAUCCCACACCGAGAGGUUCGCUUGGGUAAUCAAUUACAAGUAAUGAUUUCGGCUUAUACUCCUAUUACUCUAUUACUAUACCCUUCUUAUUAAAUUAAGUUGUGCGUAUUUUAAUUAUGACGUUUGUAUUAUUAUUAAUUCAUGGUGGGGACAGACCAUUGUUAAUUGUUGGUCUCGGUUUUAACUAGGAAUGCCUUGUACUGGUCUUUGGUUCAACAAACCACCAGGAAUACGUCCCUGCCCUUUGUACACACCGCCCGUCGCUCUUACCGAUGAACUCUGCUAUGAGCUUGAAGGAUGACCAAUUAAAAUUUAAUCGAAUAGUUUGGUUUAAAGGAAAGAGAAGUCGUAACAAGGCAUCAGUAGGUGAACCU
rnacentral:rRNA from 1 species